rnacentral:rRNA from 1 species
GAGCUUGCUCCUUUGACGUUAGCGGCGGACGGGUGAGUAACACGUGGGUAACCUACCUAUAAGACUGGGAUAACUUCGGGAAACCGGAGCUAAUACCGGAUAAUAUUUCGAACCGCAUGGUUCGAUAGUGAAAGAUGGUUUUGCUGUCACUUAUAGAUGGACCCGCGCCGUAUUAGCUAGUUGGUAAGGUAACGGCUUACCAAGGCGACGAUACGUAGCCGACCUGAGAGGGUGAUCGGCCACACUGGAACUGAGACACGGUCCAGACUCCUACGGGAGGCAGCAGUAGGGAAUCUUCCGCAAUGGGCGAAAGCCUGACGGAGCAACGCCGCGUGAGUGAUGAAGGUCUUCGGAUCGUAAAACUCUGUUAUUAGGGAAGAACAUACGUGUAAGUAACUAUGCACGUCUUGACGGUACCUAAUCAGAAAGCCACGGCUAACUACGUGCCAGCAGCCGCGGUAAUACGUAGGUGGCAAGCGUUAUCCGGAAUUAUUGGGCGUAAAGCGCGCGUAGGCGGUUUUUUAAGUCUGAUGUGAAAGCCCACGGCUCAACCGUGGAGGGUCAUUGGAAACUGGAAAACUUGAGUGCA